AGCCGACCACAUUGACAAGAUAGCUAAAGUAGCUGAGGUGGCUGGUAAGGAAUACAGCAUUGAACAAGCAUUGGAUAAAAUGGUCAAGGAAUGGGACCCUAUACAGUUUGAGGUGAAGCCAUACAAGGAGACAGGCACCUUUAUCAUUAGAUCACCAGAAGAGGCGUCACAACUACUUGACGAUCAUAUAGUAAUGA